GAUGAACGCUAGCGGCAGGCUUAAUACAUGCAAGUCGUGGGGCAGCAGGUUUGUAGCAAUACAGAUGCUGGCGACCGGCAAACGGGUGCGGAACACGUACGCAACCUCCCUCUUUCUGGAAGAUAGCCCACCGAAAGGUGGAUUAAUACUCCAUAAUAUAUUGAAGUGGCAUCACUUUAAUAUUAAAGCUCAGGCGGAAAGAGAUGGGCGUGCGUCUGAUUAGGUAGUUGGCGGGGUAACGGCCCACCAAGCCUGCGAUCAGUAGCUGAUGUGAGAGCAUGAUCGGCCACACGGGCACUGAGACACGGGCCCGACUCCUACGGGAGGCAGCAGUAAGGAAUAUUGGUCAAUGGACGCAAGUCUGAACCAGCCAUGCCGCGUGGAGGAUGAAGGUCCUCUGGAUUGUAAACUUCUUUUCUCUGGGACGAAACCCCCGAUUUCUAUCGGGCCUGACGGUACCAGAGGAAUAAGCACCGGCUAACUCCGUGCCAGCAGCCGCCGUAAUAC
rnacentral:rRNA from 1 species